AUGGGAUCCAGUCCAAAUUCCGUCACCUCGGCCUUCCACGGAGAGCGGCCGGUCGUCUUUGGCCUUGGCCUCUCGUCAGCGUCGGCGUCGGAGAGCUCGCCUGGGGGCGGGGCCCCUGCAGCUCGGCCGGAGGAGGGUCUUGUGGGCGGCCCGUCGCGGCGGAUCUCGCCAUGGCAGGAAGCACCUGCAUCAAAGAGGACGCUCUGGAAGCGCCGCCUCGAGGAGCGGCCGUCGGUGGAGAUUUCUGGGCGCCCUUCGCCCGGCCGCGAGGAGGUCUCGCCGGAGAUGCGGGACAGAUGCUUCAAGUGCCUAGAGAAGGGGCACUUUCUGAAGGACUACACGAACAAGAACGCCAUGGUGGUGUACAUCGCUGGAGACAGGUCGAAGCUCUCGCCGGAGUUGGUUCUGCAGGCGCUGCACGACAAGCGGGGCAUCUCGCCGGAUAGAGUGUCCGUUCACAGGUUCAUGCCGGAGGACUUCCUGGUGGUGUUUGCGAGGCAGGAGGAUCGAGUCAGUGUGGGUUUGCGGCCGGUGCUGGAGUUCAGAGGGCUUAAGUUUGCAUUCAGGAGGUGGAUUCGACAGAACCAGACGGUGUUCGCGGCGCUCCGGACCAGGGUCAGCUUGGAGUUGGAAGGCAUCCCCUCCCCCCAACGCCUGGGAGCUCGAGCGGAUCCGGAGGUGAUUCCUACUUGCAAAUGGUUGGCGGUGCCAGAGCCGAAGGAGCAUCGGGAGGUUUUCCAGCCAAAGACACUGCAAUACAGGGUGCUGAUUCAUCUGGCGGCGAUCACCACCUUCCCUGACGGGGAGGAGCCAUUGUUUCUCACCGGCGCCUCCUCGCGCAGUGGACAGAGCGGGCUUCCUGGUUCAGACAUGGACAUGGGUGGAGGAGCCACCAUGCGUCGGUGCGUUUGGCAGUCAGGGGUGAGAGACUUGCGCGGGGAUAACUCACGCGGCUGUGCGGGAGCGGCAGUUGGCCGGACGUUCGCUGUAGUGGUAGCGGGUGGCCGGGAGUCAGCGGCCUGGCAGCUUCCUCCAUUGGAUCCGGUGCAUCAUGUGGGCAAGUCAGGGGCCGGGCGCGAUUCUGGAAAUGGCGCCCAUUGGCCAGGCUCCGGCAGUGGGCCCAGGGAGGCGGAUUCGAUGCAGUGUGGAUUGGCGGGUCAGUCUGGGAUAUUGGAGCGCGGUUCUCCACGGACGCAGCAGGCGGGCCCCGAGGUGGAACGGGAUCAAAUGGACCCCACCCUGGCGUGGUCUGUGAUGCUCGCGGGGCCACCCGACGUGUCCAUCCCCUCUGGUUCGUCUUCCGUGCCUGUCGUGACCCUGAGCGAAAUCGUGGUGGACCCGCCUACGGUUUCCAGAGUGGCGCAUGGCUCGCCAGUGGACGUGGUGGGCUCUGGUGCGGAGGCUUUGGUGGUCGAGCCUUUGAUUCCGGCUUCGCUGAUUGGCUCGGGCAUGGAGACAUAUUCGGUGCCGAUCCCGGAGCAAUAG
rnacentral:rRNA from 1 species